AUUCAGCUGACGAGUCCCAAACAGGACGAAACGCGCGUCAUGGAU
rfam:Schistosoma margrebowiei strain Zambia genome assembly, scaffold: SMRZ_contig0004280